UGGGGAAUAUUGCACAAUGGACGAAAGUCUGAUGCAGCGACGCCGCGUGAGGGAUGAAGGCCUUCGGGUUGUAAACCUUUUUCGCCCCUGAACAAGGCAUCACUUUGGUGGUGUUGAGGGUAGGGGGUAAAGAAGCUCCGGCUAACUACGUGCCAGCAGCCGCGGUCAUACGUAGGGAGCGAGCGUUGUCCGGCAUUGUUGGGCGUAAAGGGCUUGUAGGUGGCUUGUCGCGUCUGCCGUGAAAGGCUUCAGCUUAACUGGAGUAGUGCGGUGGGUACGGGCUGGCGUGAGUGUGGUAGGGGAGAUUGGAAUUCCUGGUGUAGCGGUGGAAUGCGCAGAUAUCAGGAGGAACACCGGUGGCGAAGGCGGAUCGCUGGGCCAUUACUGACACUGAGGAGCGAAAGCGUGGGGAGCGAACA
rnacentral:rRNA from 1 species